rnacentral:rRNA from 1 species
AAGGCCCACCAAGGCAACGAUGGGUAUCCGGCCUGAGAGGGUGAACGGACACAUUGGGACUGAGAUACGGCCCAAACUCCUACGGGAGGCAGCAGCUAAGAAUCUUCCGCAAUGGACGAAAGUCUGACGGAGCGACGCCGUGUGAAUGAAGAAGGCCGAAAGGUUGUAAAAUUCUUUUGCAGAUGAAGAAUAAGAAGAAGAGGGAAUGCUUCUUUGAUGACGGUAGUCAUGCGAAUAAGCCCCGGCUAAUUACGUGCCAGCAGCCGCGGUAACACGUAAGGGGCGAGCGUUGUUCGGAAUUAUUGGGCGUAAAGGGUAUGUAGGCGGUUAGGUAAGCCUGGUGUGAAAUCUACGAGCUCAACUCGUAAACUGCAUUGGGUACUGCUUGACUUGAAUCACGGAGGGGAAACCGGAAUUCCAAGUGUAGGGGUGGAAUCUGUAGAUAUUUGGAAGAACACCGGUGGCGAAGGCGGGUUUCUGGCCGAUGAUUGACGCUGAUAUAC